UCUCUUUUACCGUUGAAUUUUAAAAUAAAGCCCAUAUACCAAAUAAUUGUCAAAAAGUUAUUAGCAUUGUUUAAGCACCGCAGCUUCCCUGCAAAGUUACACUUUAACCCCUUCCCUCCCACCUGAGAGGAUUUGAGCUCAUAAAUGUCGGGUAGUGCAAAUUACGUCUCUUUCAACAUUGAAUUCCAAUUGGAUUCUAAACUCCUGAUUGGGAUGCUAACUAGAAAUCCACGGAACCCACAAUACCAAGCCUUGAAAGCUUCUCCUCAACCCACGUCAAGAAAAUUAUCAAGAACCAACCCAAAAACAAAUUGCUACAGCUGAUUUGCCAAGGUCAUAAUUGGAAAAAUGGGACAAUCUCCCUCAAAAAGAGCUGAAAGCGUUCUUAAAAACUCUACUUCCUUCAAACAAGCAACGGCAAGCGCCUACAAUGAUUGCAUAGCCUUAACCCAACACGCCUUCCAGGGCGUCCUCCUAUACCAACUUCACGAUGCAUGUACUAAAAUCUACGCCCUUCUCUCCGUCGAUCCAGAGGACCCUGCUGCCAGCUUCCGUCAAAAAUGGCUGCCAGAGCCUCCCACCCAGCUCCAGAUUGACGAAACUCUGAGAAGCAAGAAUCUUACCACUAAAGGUUUCCUUAAUCUGGAGGAGUUUGAAGCUUUUGCAUUGGCUCUUUUCAGGGACAUGGCUAUUUCAAAGGCGUGCAGAACCCUGGGUUGGUAUAUCCCAGUGGGUUUUGUAGCAAUUUUCUUUUCGCAUGUGGUGGUGCAGAGGGUUCCUAAGAUUGGCCCCCGGUAUCGAACCCUUGAUCGCCCGCUUUCUAAAAUAAUGACGUCUUAUACAGCUGCAACUGCUGCUACAGUGUAUUAUAAUUUGGGCGCCUGAUUUUUUUGGCUACGAUUGGCAGGCAGUUCAGAGCAUCAAAAUGGGUGAAGGCAUCAUGUUGGCCGUUUGAAUUAGUACACAUUUGCAGAAUUCAAGCUCAGCAUAUUUCGAUUUGCAGAAUAUUUGUGGUAAAGGAAGUAAAAGAGUACAAAUGUCAAGAUUGCUAUUUGACUUCAUACUCAGAAUAUGUAAAGAAUUAUUGUAAAAGAAAGCAUAAUUUACAGUGAAGGAAUGUCUUAACUUAAAUCUUGAUGUCAUGUGCAGCUAUACUUUUGUGAAAUAUUACUUAUUCAGUAUAUAAAGUUUCUAAUAUACUGCAAUGCUGCCAUUACUGUUCUGGAAAUGUUUGGAACAUAGGUUUUAUUUGCCUUUAAUAAACUUUGGAUUUUGAGCACUGGGCAUGACAUGAGCUGAUAGCUUUGUAUAUAUUGUAUAGAUAACAGAAUAACACCAUAAAAAUUUGUAUGUAGUUUUUACUCAAGCUUGCUUCUGGAUUGGAAAAGCUUUUGGUACCCACAGAAUACUCUAGAUUGGCAUUGGAUAAGAGUUUGAUUCCAUGGAGUCAUCAAGCAAGUGUAAAUACUUAUUGUAAUAAAACUUUGACUCUUGAGCAUGGGGCAUGAGAUGAGAUUCUGACUCUAUAUGGUCAGGGUAAUAUCAAAUGUUACUAUGCAUGCAUAAUA